rnacentral:tRNA from 1 species
GCGAGCAUGGCUUAGCUGGCAGAGCGCGACCUUGCCAAGGUUGAAAUCGGGUGUUCGACUCACCUUGCUCGCU